UACGAAGGGGGCGAGCGUUGUUCGGAAUUACUGGGCGUAAAGGGCGCGCAGGCGGCUCUGCACGUCAGAUGUGAAAGCCCCGGGCUUAACCUGGGAAUUGCAUUUGAUACUCUGGAGCUUGAGUACGGGAGAGGAGAGUGGAAUUCCCAGUGUAGAGGUGAAAUUCGUAGAUAUUGGGAAGAACACCGGUGGCGAAGGCGGCUCUCUGGACCGAUACUGACGCUGAGGCGCGAAAGCGUGGGGAGCAAACAGG
rnacentral:rRNA from 1 species